ensembl:lncRNA
GUUGAAUAUUGGUGCAAGCUGUAAUUAAUGUUUGAAUAUUUUUUUUUUUUUUAUCACCUAAAAACCUGCAUCAGGAUUAUAUGAAAAUUCAGUUCACAGUUGACUCAGUGACUGCAAGGUGCCCAGGUCCUGUGGCUGCAAAGCAAGCCCAAAUCAUCAUCCCUCCACCACCGUGCUUGACAGUUGGUAUGCGAUGUUUGUGCUGACACGUUGUGUUUGGCUUCCACCACAUGAAGUCCGGCUCACUCAGUCAGUAGAGUAUGGGACUCCUAAGGGUCUCAGGGUCGUGCUUUCGAGCCCCACGUUGUGGCUGAAAAAGAAGCCCAAAUUAUCACCUCUUCACCACCGUGCUUGGCAGUUGGGCUUCUGCGGUCGAAUCUGUGAGGCAGCAGUUCCAACCACGAACUGCGCUGUGUGUAAACAAGGAUUAAAGGAUGAAAACUAUGAAUGAAUCCAAGCCGGGAAACAAAGAUGUGUGUGAACAAGGUUUUCUAACUUUGGAAAAGACGUCUCUACUCUCCUGCCCGUUCCCCUCCUCUCUCCUCCUCUUGUCCCUCUGCACUUUUUUGCCUCCUCUCCAGCUAUUUCCCAGCCCACACAC